UUUUUUUUUUUUUUUUUUUUGGAGACGGAGUCUCGCUCUGUCACCUGGGCUGGAGUGCAGUGGCCAGAUCUCAGCUCACUGCAAGCACCGCCUCCUGGGUUUACACCAUUCUCCUGCCUCAGCCUCCCAAGUAGCUGUUAAAUAGCUUUUUAAAUGAGGAGGAAAUUGAGAUUUGAAAGGGCAGGACUUUUAAAAAUCAAAAUCAGAGUGUGUGGGGAGCUGAGCCCCCCGUAGCCAUCCUGAGGGACUUUCUCUGUGGCUGACAUGAAGAUCUUGGCAAGGUGAGGAUAUGAAGUCUAGGGGAGCAGAGCCACAGUGCCCAUGCCCCAGAGAGGGACACUGACUCCAGGGUGUGGUGGAGGAGGUGGAACAGCUGAGCCCCACGCUUCACAGAGACCCUGCUGUGGGCCCACCGGAGCACUCAGCAUGGGAGGUGAAGGAGGCAAUGGAGCCGGUCACACAGCAUUCAGCCAGGGCUGCCCCGAGCCUCCACGGCCAACACCCAGGUGUGGGAUGCCCAUUCAACAGUGCCCCAAGCUUGGGGAGGAUGGAAAACCCCAAACAAAUAACUUGAACAAAUCCCUCCUUGGGGUUCAGACCCACACUGCUGCUGGCAUGUCCUGGAUGGCCCAUGGUCUCCUCCAACCCACUGCGUCCAGACACCAACUCAUCACCCCACUCAUGCUUGCUGCUCCUCAAUUCUGACUCCAAUCUUUGUAACAGCCUCUCCAGGCCCCCCCACAUUUCCUGAUAAGCUGCUUGGACAUUGUCCUAGACCAUCCCCCACCUAUUUCUGCACAGCCAUAACUUACCAUUGCCUCUCUCGACCCUCCCCUUCCAGCCCUCCCAGCCCCUCUCACCUGGAUUGGCCUUUCUGGCUCUAGUCUUGCCCUCUCCAAACUUCUCUCCACAUCUCGCCAAAUCUGUGCUUCCAGGACACAAAUCAUAUCCUGCUAGUCACCUCCUCAAAAAUCAAGGGCUCCCCAUGGCCUACAGAAUAAAGUCUAUGUUCUUAACAGAACACCCAGCACCCACCACUUGUCAUUCUAUUCUCAUUUCCAGUGCAUAAGGAGCCUUGUUGUCAGAGCCCGAGGACGCUUUCCUGUCUCAGAACCUUUGCUCGCGCCGCUCUGGACACAGGGCCUGCCUUCUCCCUUUCUCUUCGUCCUGAAGACCUUCUCAUUUUCCAGGCUCCUGUUUCAAUGCCUCCUCCUGCAGGCACCUCCCUGCAGGUGUGGGGACAGGAGUGGGUGGCUGUUUUCUCCUUCCUGCCACUGCCCCAUGCUGGUGUCUCUUUCAGCAUGUUUUUCAUUUGGCCGGGGACAGUGAGGACAGUGGCCUGCUAGCUCUAUUCGGCAGUUAUGUUGUAUCAGACACAGCCAGGUGAAUUUCCACCCAUGAUCUCAUCGAAUCCACACAGUUAGGAGAGGAGGUUUGUCCUGUUUCAUGGACAGGAACUUGAGGCUCAGACAGGAGAAGUGACUUGCCCAAGCAAGGGACAGAGCUGCACUCUGCACUCUCGGUGGAGUCCAGCGAAGUUCCUCCUCCACCUCUCUGCACAAGGCAGCUGCCGGGAGGCAGAACC
rnacentral:lncRNA from 1 species